UUUAUCUUUGAGGCUUAUACUUGUUAGGUCAUACUUCUUAACCCUUUGAUUUAUUUGCUUCACCCCACCAUUCCCACGUUUAGACAGAAGUGUCAUCAUGCUCCAUGUUUCACAAAAGCGAACCUAUGAUGCCUUUUUAAAGAAAGAUUCUCCUUUUUCGCAUGAUUUUGGAUAUAGCCCUCACGCGGCAAUGAACAUUGAGUCAUAUCCGACGAAUGUAGAAGCGUGUAAUAAUGGUGAUAGCUUUUUACCUCUUCCCCUAAAAAAAGUAAAAGUGUUCUCCCCCGUCAAAGACAAAUCUGAACAGCCAAAAACCAGUACUCAAUCUGCAUUGGACCCCGUCAACACGCGUAUAAGCCGAAAGUAUCCCCUUAACAACAGCACCGACAUAAAAAAGUGGCUGCUGUACCUCCCUAGGCAUCGACGAAAACACCACCUUAUAAUCGGCUCUUUUCAGGGGUUGAAUAAAAACGAGUCUCUUUUUUCGUUGGAUGAUUUGAAAAACAUUGUGAAUGGAGAGCGUCAAGAACUGGAAGAAGAACUUCGCAAGGAGUUCGAGAUUACGUUGUAUAAUCGUUUAGUUGAACAGAUUACGGAAAACUCGAGAUUCAACGAAGACUGUAUCAAUCGCCAGUUACAAGAAAGUUCUUUUAGUUAUAUAUCGUAGGCAGUUUAGGUAGAGAUAGUCGCCCGUUAGAUGUAAAUUAAAGCGAUACCAAGGGUCAACAAAUAUUUGCUACGGUGAAUGUACAUACGGAGGGUCUUAGCGACACUUGAAUCCGUAAAAAAAAUAGUGUAUGUUUAUUAAGUGCGUCGCUUGUUUUCUAUUCUUCUUCUUUGAAAACGUGAAAAGAGGGUUUCACAAAUCGCAUUUUGAUGUUCAUGUUGCUCAGCUUCGUCAUAUCCUCGUCUGAGAGGCUGAAAUCCCAUAUGUUGUAAUUUUCCUGUAUUCUGUUUUCGUUCACGGAUUUGGGAAUGACAACGAGGUUUCUUUGAACGGACCAUCUGAGGACGAUUUGAGCUGAUGUGCGGGCGUAUUUUUUGGCGAGUUCUUGAACGAGUUCAUGUUCUAGCAAAGGGGGGUAUUGGCUCUGUUUUGGUUUCGAGGCGGUUGCUAAGGGGCUGUACGCGGUAACUUGGAUGCCUUUUGAAUGGCAGAAAUCUACCAAGGCAUGUUGCGGUAAAUAGGGGUGAAUUUCCACUUGGUUGACUUCGGGAAUGAGGCCGGUAUCCUGGAUGAGGUCUUCAAUCUCCUUGACGCUGAAGUUACUGACACCUAUCGCCUUGACAAGCCCUUCCUUGUGCAGAUCGUUCAUAGCCUCGUACGUUUCCCAAAUGGGCGUUUCUUCGACCGAGGGGUCCCCGGCGAUUUUGGGGCCGUCUGGAGGAAUUUGAUCUACAGGCCAGUGCAUCAAAUACAGGUCUAGGUAUUUGAGUCCUAGGUCCUGAAGUGAUUGUUCGCAAGCUUGGCGGACAAGAUCUGGACGAUGAAAGGUGUUCCAGAGUUUCCCGGUUAUCCAGAUGUCUGAACGGGAAAGUCCCAGUUCUUGCAUGCCUUCUCUGAGGCCCUCCCCGACUUGUUUUUCGUU